rnacentral:tRNA from 1 species
GCAUUGGUGGUUCAAUGGUAGAAUUCUCACCUUUCAUGCAGGAGAUCCAAGUUCAAUUCCUAGCCAAUGUC